GGCAGUUCUUGGGUGACAUAUCCUGGAAUCAGGCUCUCUUCUCUCUGGUUCCGGGUGCAUCACCCGAGGACUGCA
rfam:Myotis davidii contig76095, whole genome shotgun sequence.